AACGAACGCUGGCGGCAUGCCUAACACAUGCAAGUCGAACGAGACCUUCGGGUCUAGUGGCGCACGGGUGCGUAACGCGUGGGAACCUGCCCUUAGGCUCGGAAUAACUCCCCGAAAGGGGUGCUAAUACCGGAUAAUGUCCUCGGACCAAAGAUUUAUCGCCCUUGGAUGGGCCCGCGUUGGAUUAGCUGGUUGGUAGGGUAAAAGCCUACCAAGGCGACGAUCCAUAGCUGGUCUGAGAGGAUGAUCAGCCACACUGGGACUGGGACGCGGCCCAGACUCCUACGGGAGGCAGCAGUGGGGAAUAUUGGACAAUGGGCGAAAGCCUGAUCCAGCAAUGCCGCGUGAGUGAUGAAGGCGUUAGAGUUGUAAAGCUCUUUUACCCGGGAUGAUAAUGACAGUACCGGGAGAAUAAGCUCCGGCUAACUCCGUG
rnacentral:rRNA from 1 species